CAGCCGCCACGGGAAUACGUAGGUGGCAAGCGUUGUCCGGAAUUAUUGGGCGUAAAGGGCUCGCAGGCGGUUUCUUAAGUCUGAUGUGAAAGCCCCCGGCUCAACCGGGGAGGAUCAUUGGAAACUGGGAAACUUGAGUGCAGAAGAGGAGAGUGGAAUUCCACGUGUAACGGUGAAAUGCGUAGAGAUGUGGAGGAACACCAGUGGCGAAGGCGACUCUCUGGUCUGUAACUGACGCUGAGGAGCGAAAGCGUGGGGAGCGAACAGGAUUAGAUACCCGCGUAGUCCCUGUCUCUUAUAC
rnacentral:rRNA from 1 species